rnacentral:rRNA from 1 species
UACCGAGUUUACAACUCCCAAACCCAAUGUGAACGUUACCAAACUGUUGCCUCGGCGGGGUCACGCCCCGGGUGCGUAAAAGCCCCGGAACCAGGCGCCCGCCGGAGGAACCAACCAAACUCUUUCUGUAGUCCCCUCGCGGACGUAUUUCUUACAGCUCUGAGCAAAAAUUCAAAAUGAAUCAAAACUUUCAACAACGGAUCUCUUGGUUCUGGCAUCGAUGAAGAACGCAGCGAAAUGCGAUAAGUAAUGUGAAUUGCAGAAUUCAGUGAAUCAUCGAAUCUUUGAACGCACAUUGCGCCCGCCAGUAUUCUGGCGGGCAUGCCUGUCCGAGCGUCAUUUCAACCCUCGAACCCCUCCGGGGGAUCGGCGUUGGGGAUCGGGACCCCUCACCGGGUGCCGGCCCUGAAAUACAGUGGCGGUCUCGCCGCAGCCUCUCCUGCGCAGUAGUUUGCACAACUCGCACCGGGAGCGCGGCGCGUCCACGUCCGUAAAACACCCAACUUUCUGAAAUGUUGACCUCGGAUCAGGUAGGAAUACCCGCUGAACUUAAGCAUAUCAAUAAGCGGAGGAAAAGAAACCAACAGGGAUUGCCCCAGUAACGGCGAGUGAAGCGGCAACAGCUCAAAUUUGAAAUCUGGCCCCUCCGGGUCCGAGUUGUAAUUUGUAGAGGAUGCUUUUGGUGAGGUGCCGCCCGAGUUCCCUGGAACGGGACGCCACAGAGGGUGAGAGCCCCGUCUGGCUG